GACGGCAGCAUAGGAGCUUGCUCCUGAUGGCGAGUGGCGAACGGGUGAGUAAUAUAUCGGAACGUGCCCUAGAGUGGGGGAUAACUAGUCGAAAGACUAGCUAAUACCGCAUACGAUCUACGGAUGAAAGUGGGGGAUCGCAAGACCUCAUGCUCCUGGAGCGGCCGAUAUCUGAUUAGCUAGUUGGUGGGGUAAAAGCCUACCAAGGCAACGAUCAGUAGCUGGUCUGAGAGGACGACCAGCCACACUGGGACUGAGACACGGCCCAGACUCCUACGGGAGGCAGCAGUGGGGAAUUUUGGACAAUGGGGGCAACCCUGAUCCAGCAAUGCCGCGUGAGUGAAGAAGGCCUUCGGGUUGUAAAGCUCUUUUGUCAGGGAAGAAACGGUAGUAGCGAAUAACUAUUACUAAUGACGGUACCUGAAGAAUAAGCACCGGCUAACUACGUGCCAGCAGCCGCGGUAAUACGUAGGGUGCAAGCGUUAAUCGGAAUUACUGGGCGUAAAGCGUGCGCAGGCGGUUGUGUAAGUCAGAUGUGAAAUCCCCGGGCUCAACCUGGGAAUUGCAUUUGAGACUGCACGGCUAGAGUGUGU
rnacentral:rRNA from 1 species